UCCACUUUGCCGGCUUCCUUCCUCACUUCUCCGCUCACUCCCAUUCCGGCAUUCCCACGACCCACAGCUCGCGUGAGUGAUGGCCGCCGGAGACGAUGCCGGGAGCGACUCCGGCGGCGACGGCGGGGGGCCAGGCCAGGUCGCCCUCGAGGAGACGACUCAACAUCUGCAAAUGUCGUUGGGCAAGAUGGUGCAGACACACAGUCCACAAUCAUGGUCAGCCCUGCCUUCAGAGCUUGCUGGUCUGGUCCUUCGUCGCCUCCCUUCCCACGCCGAUCGUGUGCGCUUCGCUGCUGUAUGUCACCAUUGGCGCUUCUCCAGAAAAGAGCAUUGCCUGCCCCCACCUUUACCAUGGCUUGCAUUCCUGAUGGAACCUUCUUUGGCCUUCGUGGAGAAGGGGUGAAAGAGUUCUUCAAGCUCCCCAUCAGUGCCAACUAUUGCAUGUCCUGCAGUGACUGGCUUCUCUUCUCACACAAUGGCACCUGUUUCCUGAUGGAUCCCUUCUCCAAGGUCACCUUGACGCUUCCUAACCUAUCUUCCUUCUGUCUUGUGGACGAGCCUGUUGGAAUUAUUAAUGGCCGUGAUGUCCUGGAUGAAGAUAUGGUUGGUCCUCUGCAACACAUGGAUACUGCGGUAUCUCUGCACAAGGUGAUCAGGUGCUCGGAACUCCUUGUUGCGGCCAUCAUUGACAUUGGGCCUCUUCGCACUGUUGCAUACUGCCAACCGGGUUCAACCUCAUGGCUGGUGAGUGGACUUGGCAGCAAAGUGUUUGUCAUGGACAUCACGUGCUAUGAAGGUAUGUUGUAUAUCAUUGACUUUUUCAAUAAUCUUUGGCAAUCAAUGUCGAAGAGGACAGUAAUAAUGGAAAGUUAAGGGUUUCUCGGGUCGAGCGUGUACUUGAGGGUUCCCCCUCUGUCCUUAAAUUGAUCUCAGGUGGCGGCACUUAUGUUCAUCCGUACCUAGUUGAAUCUCAUGGUGCACUACUGUGGGUAAGGAGAUUAAUAUAUGGUAUAUGGGAUAAUGACACGAUUGGUGGUACCAAGCCAGUAGGGAUUGAACUCGAGGUGUUUCAGUCAGACUUCCAGUCUCGAAGUUGGGUAAAGGUGAGCAGUAUUGGGGAUGAUCAGGCGUUGUUCGUCAGCCAAAGUUUAUCCCGAUCUGUUGACGUGUCUCAGUACAACCUGAAGGGGGAUUCCAUCUACUUCCUGGAUGAUGGCAGCUGUGACUGGUUCUGGAAGGAUGCGCCAAGUUCUUGUGCCGUAUAUGACAUGCGAGAUGGAAAUUGUUUCUUCAUAUCACUGCCGACAGUAGCAUGCAAGGACGUCAAAAUGCUGAGAUAGAUAUUUUCCUCCAUAUGAGUGACGCUUUGGCGGAUCAUUGAGCUGUGGACGUGAGCAUUGUUAACUGGGUGUUUCAUUUGGAUGUAGCAUGUGUUUGUUUUGUGUCAGCUUUUGCAUGUUGCAACUGGAAGGGUAUUGUAAUCCUACUUGGAAGUUGAUGCUUGUGCUCUGCAAUUAAGCUAUCUAGAAGAAUUUCAAUUUAUUUC